UGCUCUUUUGUAUGCCUAUAUAUUGAUAUGUAAUCUGGAGUUUUUAGAUAAAAAUAAGACAGAUUGUUCAGUUCUUUUUUCCUCUUUCAACAAUAGAAAUGUAAAAAAUAUA